AUACCAAAACUUCAGCACUUUCUCGGUACUUAAAAAAAAUGAACAUAAAAAUAAACGGUUCGCUAUUAGAAUUUUCCGACGUUAGGUAGUUUUGUGUCAAAUGUAAAAGCCAGGGAAACGUGUCUCCCGCAUUGCUAAUUUAGACGAUGGAAAGUGUAAUUUGUCAGAAUCUUCGCCAGAUGGCAGUAGCAACUAAGGUGGCAUUAAAAAUGAUAUAAAAUAGUUGUGUGGUCUUCAUUUGGUUUUUGGUGUUUGACAAACUGGAGCUUGCAAGCCUUUUCAAGCUAGCAUUGUUGCCACCUCUUUUGCAAGCUAUUUUUGCGCUCUUUUGAAAGCAUUUAGCUAAACAUUAUUUCCAUUAGAAAUCCAAAAACUCAACUUUUUUCCCACAAAUCCUCUAGCAUAAUUACUCCAUACCUGGUGUAAUCGUGGUCUUAAAAAAAAUUAAAAAUAACAAAUAAAUUGGCUUUGGCUUUGUGCCAGUGCAUUGUGUAAUCCAUAUUAAUCAAGAGUAUUUCUCUGUAUUUUAACCAAAUACUGAAUAAAUUGAUUUUGUUUUGCAGAGUUCUCUACAUUUGGUGCAACAGCUCAAAUGGAAACUACAGCACAAGAUCAGAAUAAAGUGAAGAACUCGAGGUCCAGCCUUCCCCACUCAAGACAUGCCUGAGACAAGAGUGACUGUAUUCCAAGUUCCAUUAUUCCAAGUUGAACAAUGCAUGGGAGGCCUGUGAAUUUGGGCAGUGUGAUUUGGAACUGUAUAGUACAUAAUAAGACUCUAUUGAGCUCCUAUAACCUUAUUAAAUAGUUAACAUGGAUAGCAUUUUUGAAAAUUAAGUAACAUGAGAAAAUGAUUGUGACAUGUCUUUAGGGGGUGAUUACAAGCCCUUAAAAAGUCCUACAUUGUCUUACAUUUAUUUUUGUUCAUGAAAUUGUCUAAUACAUCAUGACAGUUGAAUAUAUCAUGGUGUAUUUAUCUGUGGUUACAAUGUGUUUGUAUUUCAAUGGUAAAAGCCCACAAUGUGUCCUUUUCUUGGACCAGAAUAAACAUUUGGACAAAUGUGAAAGUUGUCAUUUUAGAUAACUGUAAAAAUGUAAAUUAGCUGAGAGUACAACUUGCCUGUGCUUACUUGUGUGGCACACUGUCUUAAAUGUUAUUCUAAGAAGCAUUUAAAAUGUCUAAAAAACCUUAAAUUUAACUUGCUAAUGCCUGCAGACAUCCUACUUUAAUAUGUGGGGGAUCGUAACUUAAAUGUAGUUCACUGCUUGAAAAAGGCAAAAAUACUCAACACUGUUAUAAUGUAGAAAUAAUUGGUCUAUGGUUAUUACUGUCCUGAAACUACAACAAUGCAAGACAAUGCAUAUUUUAUUGACAAGGAGUUUUGGGUGUUUUAAAUCUAGUUCUUGUGCACUUCAAUCUGUUGACAUAUCAAUAAAUUUAUCAGAAAAAUACUACGGAGGAUGUAGUCAUGAUAUUCUGUCAAUAUGCUGCAGUUGAUGCUUAUGAUGGUGGUGAAAGUGAUUAUG